ensembl:lncRNA
UUGUGUAAAGUAUUGUAUUGCAAGAAACAACAUAUGAACAUUAUUCAGUCAAUAUGAAAAAUAUUGAUAAUAUUUAGAAGAAUUCCAAAAAUAAAAAAAUGUCCUUAUAAAAUUCCCCUGGGUGAUAAUUGAUACGUUUAAAUAAUGCAACAAAAGAAAGUACAUUUUCCUUCUAUUCUACACACUGUGCCAUGAGAAAAAUGUUUUAAAGCUAUUUUCCAGUCAUCCCCCCCAUUCCCACACACACAAUGAAACAUGUAACAGAUCCAGUGAUAGCACCAGUCUCAGGUUUAGCCUGACCUCUAGUGGUUAUGAGUGGUAGUACACCAGUCUCAGGUUUAGCCUGACCUCUAGUGGUUAUGAGUGGUAGUACACCAGUCUCAUGGUUAUAGCCUGACCUCUAGUGGUUAUGAGUGGCAGUACACCAGUCUCAGGUUCAUAGCCUGACCUCUAGUGGUUAUGAGUGGUAUGGCCUAGUUUCUUUCCUGCCAAUGCUUCUAUGGAGAAUCUUGAGUUGUUCAAGCUGAUGACUAUUCUGUAGGGACUUGGUGAGAGUCAAGAGGCAUUGUUCAAGAGGUUCUGAUAGACUCAACCACAACAUAUUUAAUCAAAAUCACAUUUUUUUAUUCAUCACAAUAAUUACAAACAGUAGAAUGAAACAAAAAUUAAUGAAAUGAGUCGAUACGAUACAGCAGCAACAUUGAUUAAUAGUGGAGUUUAUCUGGUACAGCAGGAAGACAAUUUGUCAGUGGAAGAACAAUGGAGUGGCUGUUGAAUUGAAUUGAAUCUACCUGUAGCUGACUACAAGGAAAGAAGAACCCUGACCUCACAGAUACAUGUGUCUCUGUGGGAGGGAAGGGGGGUCCCUCUUAGCUCCACAGCAACCAGUCCCUCUUAGUUCCACAACAACCAGUCCCUCUUAGUUCCACAACAACCAGUCCCUCUUAGUUCCACAACAACCAGUCCCUCUUAGUUCCACAACAACCAGUCCCUCUUAGUUCCACAACAACCAGUCCCUCUUAGUUCCACAGCAACCAGUCCCUCUUAGUUCCACAACAACCAGUCCCUCUUAGUUCCACAACAACCAGUCCCUCUUAGUUCCACAACAACCAGUCCCUCUUAGUUCCACAGCAACCAGUCCCUCUUAGUUCCACAACAACCAGUCCCUCUUAGUUCCACAACAACCAGUCCCUCUUAGUUCCACAACAACCAGUCCCUCUUAACUCCACAACAACCAGUCCCUAUUAGUUCCACAACAACCAGUCCCUCUUAGUUCCACAACAACCAGUCCCUCUUAGUUCCACAACAACCAGUCCCUCUUAGUUCCACAACAACCAGUCCCUCUUAGUUCCACAACAACCAGUCCCUCUUCACUCCACAACAACCAGUCCCUCUUAGUUCCACAACAACCAGUCCCUCUUAGUUCCACAACAACCAGUCCCUCUUAGUUCCACAAUAACCAGUCCCUCUUAGUUCCACAACAACCAGUCCCUCUUAGUUCCACAACAACCAGUCCCUCUUAGUUCCACAACAACCAGUCCCUCUUAGUUCCACAACAACCAGUCCCUCUUAGUUCCACAACAACCAGUCCCUCUUAGUUCCACAACAACCAGUCCCUCUUAGUUCCACAACAACAAGUCCCUCUUAGUUCCACAACAACCAGUCCCUCUUAGUUCCACAACAACCAGUCCCUCUUAGUUCCACAACAACCAGUCCCUCUUAGUUCCACAACAACCAGUCCCUCUUAGUUCCACAACAACCAGUCCCUCUUAGUUCCACAACAACCAGUCCCACUUAGUUCCACAACAACCAGUCCCUCUUAGUUCCACAACAACCAGUCCCUCUUAGUUCCACAACAACCAGUCCCUCUUCACUCCACAACAACCAGUCCCUCUUAGUUCCACAGCAACCAGUCCCUCUUAGUUCCACAACAACCAGUCCCUCUUAGUUUCACAGCAACCAGUCCCUGUUAGCUAAGACAGUACGUUCCCAAUAAAAACAUAAUUCCACCUUGACAUUAUGGGGUAGAUCAGUGACAAAACAAUCUUCCUUUCAAUCCAUUUCAAAUUCAGGCUGUAAACACAACAAACAUUAGGAUAAAGUCAACGGGUGUGAAGGCUCAAAGUAAACAAAACAUUAUGAACACCUGCUCUUUCCAUGACAGACUGACCAGGUGAAUCCAGGUGAAAGCUGUCAUCCCUUAUUGAUGUCACCUGUUAAAUCCACUUCAAUCAGUGUAGAUGAAUGGGAGGAGACGGGAUAAAGGAAGGAUUUUUAAGCCUUGAGACAUGGAUUGUGUCUGUGUGUCAUUCAGAGGGUGAAUGGGCAAGACAAAAUAUUUAAGUGCCUUUGAACGGGGUAUGGUAGUAGGAGGUGCCUUUGAACAGGGUAUGGUAGUAGGUGCCUUUGAACAGGGUGUGGUAGUAGGUGCCUUUGAACAGGGUAUGGUAGUAGGUGCCUUUGAAUGGGGGUAUGGUAGUAGGUGCCUUUGAACAGGGUAUGGUAGUAGGUGCCUUUGAAUGGGGGUAUGGUAGUAGGUGCCUUUGAACAGGGUGUGGUAGUAGGUGCCUUUGAAUGGGGGUAUGGUAGUAGGUGCCUUUGAACAGGGUGUGGUAGUAGGUGCCAGGCACACUGGUUGUGUCAAGAACUGCAACGCUGCUGAGUUUUUCACACUCAACAGUUUCCCGUGUGUAUCAAGAAUUGUCAACCACCUAGAGAAGUUCCAGCCAACUUGACGCAAUUGUGGAAAGCAUUGGAGUCAACAUGGGCCAGCAUCCCUGUGGAACGCUUUCAACACCUUGUAGAGGGGGGUGGAGCAACUCAAUAUUAGGAAGCUGUUCUUAAUGUUUUGUUCACUCAAUGUAGAUUGUACAGUAUAGUACAUUCCCUGAACAAAAGCAGGAUCUAGAUUAUACAGCUCUAUCUGAACAGAUGCUGGCAAACCUAAAGAGUCAUUCCAUUUGAUUCUUGAUGACAGUCCAUGAUGCUGCUAAACCUAAAGAGUCAUUCCAUUUGAUUCUUGAUGACAGUCCAUGAUGCUGCUAAACCUAAAGAGUCAUUCCAUUUGAUUCUUGAUGACAGUCCAUGAUGCUGCUAAACCUAAAGAGUCACUCCAUUUGAUUCUCGAUGACAGUCCCUGAUGCUGCUAAACCUAAAGAGUCACUCCAUUUGAUUCUUGAUGACAGUCCCUGAUGCUGCUAAACCUAAAGAGUCACUCCAUUU